UACGUAGGGCGCAAGCGUUAUCCGGAAUUAUUGGGCGUAGAGAGCUCGUAGGCGGUUUGUCGCGUCUGCCGUGAAAGUCCGGGGCUCAACUCCGGAUCUGCGGUGGGUACGGGCAGACUAGAGUGAUGUAGGGGAGACUGGAAUUCCUGGUGUAGCGGUGAAAUGCGCAGAUAUCAGGAGGAACACCGAUGGCGAAGGCAGGUCUCUGGGCAUUAACUGACGCUGAGGAGCGAAAGCAUGGGGAGCGAACAGG
rnacentral:rRNA from 1 species